rnacentral:rRNA from 1 species
UGGGGAAUAUUGGACAAUGGGCGCAAGCCUGAUCCAGCCAUGCCGCGUGAGUGAUGAAGGCCCUAGGGUUGUAAAGCUCUUUCAACGGUGAAGAUAAUGACGGUAACCGUAGAAGAAGCCCCGGCUAACUUCGUGCCAGCAGCCGCGGUAAUACGAAGGGGGCUAGCGUUGUUCGGAAUUACUGGGCGUAAAGCGCACGUAGGCGGAUUGUUAAGUUAGGGGUGAAAUCCCAGGGCUCAACCCUGGAACUGCCUCUAAUACUGGCAAUCUCGAGUUCGAGAGAGGUGAGUGGAAUUCCGAGUGUAGAGGUGAAAUUCGUAGAUAUUCGGAGGAACACCAGUGGCGAAGGCGGCUCACUGGCUCGAUACUGACGCUGAGGUGCGAAAGCGUGGGGAGCAAACA